ACUGGAACGUCAUUUGUUCGGGAAGUCUGCAGCAAGGAGCUGAGAGCAGGAUUUGCGAGCAGCGGGACUGGGAACGCUUUGUUGGUUUGAAAAAGGAACAGAAAAAAGAGGGAAAAGAGCCCGAGCUGGCUUGCAGUCGGAGUGUCGGCAGUAAAGAAUGGGGAAAAGGACAGAGCGUGCUGCCGUCCGUCGAUACGGAGGCUUGAAAAGGGAGCCGGAGCAACAGAUGUCUGAGGUGCUGCUCAGCGUGCCCUUGGGCACACCUGUCAGAAGGAACUCAAAGAGGAGGAAACCAAGGAGUCAUCUUACAGCAAAGCCACACAAGGGGACCAUAAAUGCCUUUUUAGCAAGCAUCACAGGAGAGAGAACGGAGGAGGAAACACGGAGGUUAUAAGCCCUGGCUACCUUUACCUAAGCAUAAAUUCCGAGGUGUUAUUUUCCUUAUGUUAUUCUGGAUUAUGAGACCAUUCAUACUCUUUCCCUCUCUAAGUGAGAUAUAUUCCCAUCCCCCGCUGUAUGUCCUCAGACAACUCAGUACAUGUACGCAGUUUUGCCAUGCUGUGCCCUGGUGGUUACUGCUCAGCUGAUCUUGUUUAGCCUUUCUGCCAAGGGGGUGUCUGGGAAGGUAGAUGCCUGUGCAAAUUGUUCAAGUUGUGAAAUCCUGCUUUAUUUGUUCCUCAUUCUUCCCUUUUCUUAUCCCAUAAAGUUAACGCAGAAGAAAAACAAAACAAAAACAAAAAAAAAUGCAGAGGGUCCCCAGU